AUUGAACGCUGGCGGCAGGCCUAACACAUGCAAGUCGAACGAGUGGCGGACGGGUGAGUAAUGUCUGGGAAACUGCCCGAUGGAGGGGGAUAACCACCGGAAACGGUAGUUAAUACCGCAUACCAUCGGAUCUGCCCAGAUGGGAUUAGCUUGUUGGUGAGGUAACGGCUCACCCAGGCGACGAUCCCUAGCUGGUCUGAGAGGAUGAACAGCAACACUGGAACUGAGCCACGGCCCAGACUCCUACGGGAGGCAGCAGUGGGGAAUAUUGCACACUGGGCGCAAGCCUGAUGCAGCCAUGCCGGGUGUAUGAAGACGGCAUUAGGGUUGUAAAGUACUUUCAGCAGGGAGGCGUUACCCGCAGAAGAAGCGCCGGCUAACUCCGUGCCAGCCGCCGCGGUAAUAC
rnacentral:rRNA from 1 species